AGCUAGUUGGUGGGGUAAGAGCUCACCAAGGCGACGAUCAGUAGCUGGUCUGAGAGGAUGAUCAGCCACAUUGGGACUGAGACACGGCCCAGACUCCUACGGGAGGCAGCAGUGGGGAAUUUUCCGCAAUGGGCGAAAGCCUGACGGAGCAACGCCGCGUGAGGGAUGAAGGCCUCUGGGCUGUAAACCUCUUUUCUCAAGGAAGAAGAUCUGACGGUACUUGAGGAAUAAGCCACGGCUAAUUCCGUGCCAGCAGCCGCGGUAAUACGGGAGUGGCAAGCGUUAUCCGGAAUCAUUGGGCGUAAAGCGUCCGCAGGUGGCUUUGUAAGUCUGCCGUUAAAGCGUGGAGCUUAACUCCAUUUCAGCGGUGGAAACUACAAGGCUUGAGUGUGGUAGGGGCAGAGGGAAUUCCCGGUGUAGCGGUGAAAUGCGUAGAUAUCGGGAAGAACACCAGUGGCGAAGGCGCUCUGCUGGGCCAUAACUGACACUCAUGGACGAAAGCCAGGGGAGCGAAAGGGAUUAGAUACCCCUGUAGUCCUGGCCGUAAACGAUGAACACUAGGCGUCGGGGGAAUCGACCCCCUCGGUGUCGUAGCCAACGCGUUAAGUGUUCCGCCUGGGGAGUACGCACGCAAGUGUGAAACUCAAAGGAAUUGACGGGGGCCCGCACAAGCGGUGGAGUAUGUGGUUUAAUUCGAUGCAACGCGAAGAACCUUACCAGGGUUUGACAUCCUGCGGACCCCUGAGAAAUCGGGGGGUGCCUUCGGUAACGCAGUGACAGGUGGUGCAUGGCUGUCGUCAGCUCGUGUCGUGAGAUGUUGGGUUAAGUCCCGCAACGAGCGCAACCCACGUCUUUAGUUGCCAGCAUUCAGUUGGGCACUCUAGAGAGACCGCCGGUGAUAAACCGGAGGAAGGUGUGGAUGACGUCAAGUCAUCAUGCCCCUUACAUCCUGGGCUACACACGUACUACAAUGCUACGGACAAAGGGCAGCGAACUCGCGAGAGCAAGCAAAUCCCAUAAACCGUGGCUCAGUUCAGAUCGUAGGCUGCAACUCGCCUACGUGAAGGAGGAAUCGCUAGUAAUCGCAGGUCAGCAUACUGCGGUGAAUACGUUCCCGGGCCUUGUACACACCGCCCGUCACACCAUGGAAGUUAGCCACGCCCGAAGUCGUUACUCCAACCCUUGUGGAGGAGGAUGCCGAAGGUGGGGCUGAUGACUGGGGUGAAGUCGUAACAAGGUAGCCGUACCGGAAGGUGCGGCUG
rnacentral:rRNA from 1 species